rnacentral:rRNA from 1 species
AUUGAACGCUGGCGGCAUGCCUUACACAUGCAAGUCGAACGGUAACGGGCCUUCGGGUGCCGACGAGUGGCGAACGGGUGAGUAAUACAUCGGAACGUGCCCGAUCGUGGGGGAUAACGAGGCGAAAGCUUUGCUAAUACCGCAUACGAUCUACGGAUGAAAGCAGGGGACCGCAAGGCCUUGCGCGGACGGAGCGGCCGAUGGCAGAUUAGGUAGUUGGUGGGAUAAAAGCUUAACAAGCCGACGAUCUGUAGCUGGUCUGAGAGGAUGAUCAGCCACACUGGGACUGAGACACGGCCCAGACUCCUAAGGGAGGCAGCAGUGGGGAAUUUUGGACAAUGGGCGCAAGCCUGAUCCAGCCAUGCCGCGUGCAGGAUGAGGGCCUUCGGGUUGUAAACUGCUUUUGUACGGAACGAAAAGCCUUCUUUUAAUACAGGAGGGUCAUGACGGUACCGUAAGAAUAAGCACCGGCUAACUACGUG